rnacentral:lncRNA from 1 species
CGACUGGGUCACUUUGGAGGACGGCGGUAGGUCUUCUUACCGUUGCUCGGGGAAACAUGAUUUCAGCGAGCAGAUGGGCACGAACAGAGCUAUGGUGGUGCGGGUACGGUCAAGUGGGCGCGGCUCGGUGCAAGGCCAUAGGGAUUUGAAAUCUUGAGCGGGAUCUCCUGUGUUUCACAGAGGAGGAGAAGGAAAGGGAGGGAGAGAGGUAAGGGACAAUGGGCAGGGCCCACUUGGUAGUGAGAGGGAGAGGGAGGGAGGCACUGGCCGCUGGUGGGCUCGGCCAAGAGAAGGUGUCGGGAGGGGUUGCUGGGCUGGAUUCGGCUCGGCUAAGUUGGCUGUCGGGCUGAAAGGAAAGUAAGGAAGAGGGAGAGAGGAAAAGAGAAUUUGGGCCAAGGAUAAAAGGGAGAUUCAGCCCAAUCAUUGAUUUGAAUGAUUUAGCAUUUAAACAAUUCGAGAAAUCAACCAAACCACGUUUUGAAAAUACAAAUUUAUUUUUCAAACAAGAACUCUAUGCAAAGCAGCAUGAAUGCAAGUAAACAAAAUAUAUCCUAUGACUCAUUAAUUUAUUUUAAAAUUAUUGUUUGCAAACAACUAAUUGUGAAUAGAGUCUAGCUAAUUUGAGAAAAUUCCUAGAAAAAAUUAAACUAUUGCGAAAAAUGAAAUUAGGGUGUUACAGGUGCACUACCAGACUAGGGUUUUUUUAGUGGUUGCAAGAACAAAGAAGUAGAUUACUCUCAUCUUUAGAGGUUUAACUUCAUUAAUCAUACCAAUACACAAUUUCAUUUCACGAGUUCAUAUGCAAGCCAUUGCAUUUAAAACGGUGCAUUGUGUUGAGAUCAAAUGUGCCCAUAGAUUAUGUGGCCAGUCACAAAAAGUAUAGAAAUAGCGAAAUAUCAUGGUUAUAUAGGAAAAUCUAGCAUGGAAACCAAAAGUUAAACAAAAAGAUCAGUUGUACACAAACAGACACGUGCAUUUCCUCAUGAAAGUACUUUGUGCAAAACUUCAAGACACCAAAACUUGGACCAACCGCUUCCACUUCCUCAACGUUACUCUUUCUUGGGACUACAACCACUACCUCAUCCAUAACUUUUUCUCCAUCCUCUCUCUUCUUUGCAUCCUUCUUUGUUCUCCCUCUACCUUCUUCUUUGGUUAUCCAUUCAAUCUCUC